CCUUGUUCAAAUCUUUCAAAUUCCUCCAGAUUUUCCUCAAUUGAUAAGGGGGUAUUUGGUAGCCUAAGCCAAUCCUGAGUCCAAGAGUCAAAUUGAAAUUU